rnacentral:lncRNA from 1 species
CCUCCUUUGACUCUAGAGCUCCCCAGAGCAGGGCCUGACUCCAGGGGGGGGGGGCGGAUCUGAAGUUCUGGGUCUUCCCCUGCUCCCCCCCCCCCCGCAGUUAUGGCGACCAGGUGCAGCACUUCAAGGUGCUUCGAGAGGCCUCAGGGAAGUACUUCCUGUGGGAAGAGAAGUUCAACUCCCUCAACGAGCUGGUCGACUUCUACAGAACCACCACUAUCGCCAAGAGGCGGCAGGUCUUCCUGUGUGACGAGCAGCCACUGCUCAAGCCGCCCCGGGCCUGCUUUGCCCAGGCCCAGUUUGACUUCUCAGCACAGGACCCAUCUCAGCUUAGCCUCCGCCGAGGUGACAUCGUGGAAGUCGUGGAGCGUGAAGACCCGCACUGGUGGCGGGGCAGGGCCGGCGGGCGCCUGGGCUUCUUCCCACGCAGCUACGUGCAGCCGGUACACCUGUGACCCCACAAGACCAGAGGAGCGAUGCUCCGGGCGCAGCUUCUUCACACUAACCAGGACCGGCGUCGGUCACCUCUAGGCUGGGAGCGCAAGCUUCCCCGCUUCCCUCCCGGUGGUCUCCGGGGUUGGUGAUGUCACCCGCCACCACCGAGGCCCACCCUCUCCAGAUCUGAGGACCAACUGCUACUGGCUGGGGCCCAGCUCGGAGAGUGCUCCCCUUGAGCAGCUGCCUGCCGCCAGUCUUCUAGAGGCCCUUCUUCUGGGAAUGUGGCUUAGCCCUGGGCAACCAUGAUUUUCAGAGUGCAGAGCAGUUCCUCCUACUCCAAUAAGACCUCCUGGCCUUACCCCACCAGCCCUGGAAUGAGGCGAUACAGAGGUGAAUCCCAUUGGAAGAGGUGCAAUAAGGACAGAUGCCAUGCAGUGGGUUCUCUCCUGUUGGCUAUAGGCAGAGACCAGCUUGGAGGCCUGGGCUAUGCCAUUUGGGGAGGAAGAGCCGGCAUUGACUGAACUGAAGUCCAAGGGGGUGGUCCCUGGCCAUGGAGGGACUCUGAGCUGCCUCUGCCCAGAGCCAGAGCAACCUUCAGAUUUCGAAAACUGAGUCAGAUUUGGCAGGGCCUGGCAUGGUGAAGGGCUUUAGGGGAGACAGACAGACAGACAGACAGGUUGUCUUUGGUCCCUUGAAGAGCCCAGGCUACAGACACCUGAGGUUCUCCCUGAGUCCAGGGCUGGCCCAAGACCCUUUAAGCUGUGAGCUUGGCAUACCCUAUGCUUCCAACCUGAACCCACGUAUUGAAAAUAAAACAUUAACCAGUGGACA